ensembl:lncRNA
CACAACAUACCGAACGGGUGAUAGUGUACGGCAGGAUUUAUGCUGAAUGCAAGCCUUAGCCCUGCCUGCUCUCUGCAAGGUUACUUGUUACUGCUAGGCUUCCAUUUUGAUCUGCAAAGCCAAUUCCUGCUUCUUACUUCAGCUGAUACAAUUCCAAAAGCGAGGGUCAACGCAACAAGCAUACCUAUUACAAUGCCUUAGAAAAUGUAUUUGCUCUGCACUAACAUUUGCUUUCCAUGCACAGUAGCUGCUUCCUAUCUAGUAUUUUUAAAGGCACUUAAUUCAAAUCUAUCCCUUGCCAAGGGGUCUCAUUUGUUAGAGUUUAAUUUCUUACACAUUUUUAUGCAUGGUCAGUUAUAGUAAAUAAAACAACGCUAAUGCCAUUCCGUGCUUUUUUGCACGGUCAACGUUAUUAGGUGAAGUCUUAAGAUUGUAUUCACAUCUUAAAAGAACAAUUACCUUUAAAAACCAGUUCUAGUUAACAAAAGGGGCAGUACGAUCAUCCAGUGACAAUAAGAUCAUAUCCCGGGUAAAGAGCCUAGGCAGCUAAGCUAUGGAAAAGACUCUUCAGACACUGAACAUUUGAUUGCAGCUUUUGUAACAUAUGCACUGUCACCUUAGCAAUGCCAAUUAGCAGAAAUAUUUGGACAAAACCUAAAAGACUGAUUCACAUUUGACUUUCAUUUUAGUCCACUGUAUGGAAUAAAAUUGCACGCUGGCUCCUGAAAAGGAGCUAAAAAAGUGCAUUAAGAGUUGUUAUCUCAGAAGAGUGCCUCUUCCCUUUAUUACCCAACUUUUGCAAGUAAACUGGCAAAGUCCAAACAAGUUUGGAUGCCCGCUUUUGCUAAACUGCACAAUGUGUUACCUUUUUUUGGCACGGAAAGGGUGGAAGGCCCUUUGUCAGGCUUCAUGGAAAACCCGAUGAUUCUCUGCUGUGGCAUUGCAGCAGCUGAGAUGAAAGCAUACUUUCUUUAUUGCCAACACUGAUCCCCAAAGCAGUCAGAGCAUCCCAAGCCACCUCAGGGAAGGCAAGCCAGGGCGCUGGGAUU